AAAUUGCUUCAUCUUCCUUUUUCUUUUUUAAAACAACAGAGGGAAGAAAGAGGGAUCUGCUAGGCCUUCUUUAAAGCCCUAACUAUCGCCACGCCACCGCCGUUCAAGCUUCGUCGCCGACUCCAAUUCAGAUGUAUGAGCGUUGUGCGAGUGGACGUGCCAGUGAAGAUGUGGGACAGUUUGGGAGGCUGCCGAAUGUGGGUCGUGCACGGCACUGGAGGUUGCUGCGACGUGGGGUGGCUACUGCUAAGUGCUGCUUAGGGUUAGGCUAGGGUUAGCAACACUUGGGCCUUAUUGGGCCAAAUGCAAUUGGGUCAAGAUUGGCCCAAGUUUUAUUGGAUUUGAUUGGUUAA